AACGUAGGAGACAAGCGUUAUCCGGAGUUACUGGGCGUAAAGGGCGUGUAGGUGGUUUCGUAAGUCUGGCGUGAAAUUUUUCGGCUUAACCGGGAAAGGUCGUCGGAUACUGCGGAACUAGAGGACGGUAGAGGCGUGUGGAAUUCCGGGUGUAGUGGUGAAAUGCGUAGAGAUCCGGAGGAACACCAGUGGCGAAGGCGACACGCUGGGCCGUACCUGACACUGAUGCGCGAAAGCAUGGGGAGCAAACAGG
rnacentral:rRNA from 1 species